rnacentral:rRNA from 1 species
UACGGAGGGAGCUUGCGUUGUUCGGAAUUACUGGGCGUAAAGCGCGCGUAGGCGGCUUUGUAAGUUAGAGGUGAAAGCCCGGGGCUCAACCCCGGAACUGCCCUUAAGACUGCAUCGCUUGAAUCCGGGAGAGGUGAGUGGAAUUCCGAGUGUAGAGGUGAAAUUCGUAGAUAUUCGGAAGAACGCCAGUGGCGAAGGCGGCUCACUGGACCGGCAUUGACGCUGAGGUGCGAAAGCGUGGGGAGCAAACAGG